CGAGACCAUCAUAUCUUUAUAGACUAUAUGCAUUACGAAUAGGGUAUUAUUUAGCACUUAAACAUGACACAGAGUUACAGUAAUACAUCGGACUGACAAUUUUAUAUUUCGUUCCAGGUGAAGGGUUCUGAGAAAUCUCUAGGUACAUGUAUUGCGGCAGAGGAUAUAGCUGGGAAUAGGAUGGAUAUAACAGCAUUGAUUGGUGAAGAAUUUGACAUCAUAAGAAAAGGAAAACCAAAUCCGAAUAACAAAUGGCUUGUGAGGAACAAACAAGGACUGUGUAAGUUUGCGAUAUGUAUUUCUAGUCGACAAUUCUAGGAAAUAUAAAGAAAACAUGUUCCGAUUAGAAGUUUUUUAUGCUCUUAGGAUUUGACUAAUAAAUAAGACUGCUGUUUUAUUUAUUAAUAUUUCGAUAUUUCAAAAUCAAGAUUUUGAAGUAUUCUCUGAUCCGAGAUAACGUUAUUGAUUUGUAAAGAUUACAUAUAAGAAUGAAUUCCAGAAUUGAAAUUCUAUAGCACAAAUUUACCUGUGGAUAUAAUCAAAUGCCCUUUACAUCAAGUAUUACGCUUCUCUAAUCACACACUUAGCCUAGACUAUUUUAUUUUUACAACAAUUGUGAUAUUUAACAAAUAUAAAACAUUUUCCGUGUUGAUAUACAGUUAUAUCAACACGAGUGGAAAUUGGGAAAACGAGAAAUUGUGUGGAAACACGACGCCCGAAGGGCGGAGUGUUUUCAUACAAUUUCGAGUUUUCCCAACUUCCACGAGUGUUGAUAUAACUAUAUAUCAACACGGAAAAAAUGUUUUAUAUUUUUUUUAUAAUAUAGCAAUGCCAAAAGCCCGAU
rnacentral:lncRNA from 1 species